AAAAAAAAAAAAAAGUGUGAAAAGUCAAAACGUUGACCAAGACAAAAUAGGAACCCGUGCAAGGAACCCAUGCAAGGAAAUCCUAUUGGGAACCAAAGAAUUUCACCACUGAAACACAAUUGAAAAUCACCACAGCAUUUCAAUUCUUAGAUAGAAGUAAUGCUCUAAAAAUAUCAAAGCGAUGGAAAAAUAGAGAAAAAAAAAUCAGAAUAUCCUGAUGAGCCUGGCACAUGGAAUAUGGUGUCCAUAUGCCUCCUGGUUUUAGACCAAACUAAAUAAAAAUCCACAGACCAAUGCCGCAAACAUCACCGCCAACUUUUUGAGCCAAGCACGAGCCUAUUAGACUGCUUCCCAUUAAAGGAUAUGCUAGAUUCACCAACAUGCCCUGGAAUGCAGCCAGCCCACCAGGAGUGAAGGGAUGCCUUCUGGGCUGGCCAAAUGUUAAGAAGGAAUGUCAACAGGAUGCUCUUAAAGUUGCCCUGUGGUGAGCUGCGGUGGGACAACUUGAAGGAGCAGGAAAAAGGACCCAUGUUAAGACUUAUUCAGACGCUGCGUUUUGUGAUGACUUCUAGUAGUAACAGCUUUACAGAGAGAGCAACAGCUGGCCAGCUGCAGGGAGAAGCAGAGCAGAUCCUUCUGACCAGAGGCAUUUGAGGACUGGCCCCGCGAGGGAGCCCACCUGGAAAGAGCAACCGGCCCUGUGAACAAAGAUUGGAACCGUAAGCCACAGAGAUGUGGCCUUGCGACAGUGUGGACCAGCGCGGAGAGCACUGGGGAACAUUUGACUAGUGAAGACUUUGGAUAUAUAAACCCGUAACAUGAUGUAUUGUCUCCAGCUGAGUACAAAACCUAAAGGAAAUUCUGCAGAACAGAUUUCAAAUCCACACUGAGGAGAAAGAGCACAGGAUAAGGAACCUGGAGGCCAAGAUUCCAUUCCUGGAUCUCUGACCAACCAGCUGGGUGACCCACCCUUCAUCUUGCUAACUUCUUGGAGCCACAAUUUAAUCAUCUAUGUGCACCCCGUGUACUCCUCAGGAUGGUGGAGAGCUCAUUUGCAUACAAAUGCUCAGCACAUUGUGGGUCCUGGUUGGCAGUGUUCAGCCUGGAAAUAAAGUUAUUGAUGGCUGUUUAUAAGAGAGACAAAUUGGAGCAGGGUUUGGAGCAAGAGACCAGAAGCCAGUCCAUCACCUGCUCCCUCGGUGACCUCAUGUCACCUCUUCAUGCUUCAGUUUCUCCAUCUGUUGGUGGAAAGGGUGAUACAUGAUACCUUGCUCUCAGACUGUCAGGAACAUCUUUGGAAAGCACUAGGAGAUGCUGGAAGAGGCCCGAAAGCCUUCAUAGUUUCCUUUAUGUGGUAAAAUAAAACCUCAUCUGAUGGUUUUUAAAUUACAGAAAAUAUGAUUUUUUUUUCUCUCAAAAUAAGAAGAUGAAAAAGUACUUAUAUUUCUUCAUUCAUUGGUCAACAGUAUUUCAUUAAAUCCACUUCCAUGGCUGGACCUGAUGAUUCAUUUAAAUAUAAACAGAUAACCUAUAGAAGGUGCAGAAGUAGAUGCUAUUAUUACCGAUAGUUAACUUUGCUACUGCGAAAUGCAUUUCUACACUACUUUUAACAUUUUUAGCAUGCUUCCUCUCUCACCCUCACUACACACACACACACACACACACACACACACACUUCCCCAUGGUAGAAUGGCAGAGAAAUAUCAUCUCCUCUAUUUUACAAAUGAGAAAACCUAAACUAGAAGAAACCAGUAAACUGUCAAGUCCAUGCAGAUAAUUAAGGACAGUUAGAAUAAUGUAAGCCUUUGAAACCCAGUGCUUAUCCUUCUCAACUUCAUUUUCUAUAACCCUGAAGACUGGCUUUUUUCUCUCUCUCUUUCUGUUUUUGUACAUCUUUUUUUUCCCCUCCACUUACUGAUCUCACAGGGCUACAGGUAUCUUCUCCAUAUUUCUUCUCUAGGAAAGCUUCUAAAGCAACACUCAUUUCUGAGGUUCUCAAGAAAAGUUUACAGGAAAGUGAGAGCUCAGAUAUGACUGUUUGCUUGUUAAGCUUGUUCCUCGUAAGCCCGAAGAAUAACCUGCUGAAAAUCAUAUUACUGCGCAACCGGGCCCUCCAGACUGCUCUAAGUGGAGGAUCCAGUCAUGCUGCACAAGUCAUCUGCAGGCUGAAAUAGCUGUGUCGUGAUGCUAUUACGGACAUGAGCUUGUUUUGUAUGAGCUUCUAAAGUGUAGCCAGGCUUAAGAAUCAGAAGGGAAAGCAUGGGAUGAACACCAAAAGAGCACCUUAAACUGAUACUUUUUUCCUGUCAGGAAUUAAAUUGCAAGUUUAUUAGAAACUGACGAAGAGACACAGAAAAGCUAUAGCUGACAAGGUACCAACCCCAUUGCUCACACAUAUCCGACAACGACUUAAUUCUCUGCAUCCCAUUUGCCAACCCUGUCUGCUAUUAUUCCUUCCCAGCAAGUACCCCCAAGUACCUGCCCAGUACCAAUUAGCCAGAAAAGUUUCCUGAGAUUUUAAAAUACUGAAACAAAGAGGGCUGCCAAUGGGAAACCCAAUACAAUAGACAGCUGGCGGCUGCUGGCCAUGGAUGGCAUGGCUGCCCAAGCUGACAGAAAGAACGAACCCUCUCAAAGAUGCUCCUGUCUGCCCCACUUGAGCCACUACUGCCGGGGCAGGCAUCCCUGGGAAAUUGCCCUGUAAAAUGAGCAGCUCCUAUUCAACAGCAGACUCCCAGCUGCUUCCCACCUCAGAGGCUGCUAUUGGGCAUCACAGGGCAGUCCUCCUGGCCUGGCUCGCUCUCAGCGGGACUAUUAGGAGCCUAGGCUGGGAGGCACAGGUGGGUGGGGGCAAUGCGGCAGCCCAGGUGGCACACCUGCCCCUUGCAGGGCCCUCUCCAGCUUUAGAUAGACGGGGCUGGUGAUUCUAGGGUUGGGCGCCCUUUCCAAGUGUAUUGAUCUCCCCUCCUCUUCCCAAAUUGCACCAUGCACCUUCACCCACGCUAAACCCCUGCCUGGAAACAGAACACUGUGGCCAGCCCUUCCCCCAAGAGCCAGAAGGGCUAGCUCUGGCCCACAGCCAGGCUCUAAAGAAACAGCAUAGGGCAGAGAGAGGCGGUGGGUGGGGCCGAGAGCCUUGUGUUACACAUUCAAAGCCUAAUUUUGGAUCAGAGUCAUCCUUGUAGCCAAGCCUGAAAGAUCACUGAGGCCCCAAAAUGAACCCGCAGCUCUGAGGCGGGGCCUGGACGAACCCACAGCUUUCUUGCCCACAUGCUACUCUCCUAACUGAAGUUAAAUUAGGCUUGUUUGGAUUUUCACUGGUAUUUUUUUAAGCAACAUCAGUUGUCUUUUAGCCUCAUGCUAGCUGAGGGCAGUGCACGUUUCCUACCCCUAUCUUUCUGUACACAUUCACAAAAUGCCUCAGCUGAGACGCUGACCAGAAGCCAGGGCUCCUAAUGCUACUGCCUAAGACAUGCCAUUCUGCUGGUGGUCACACCAGUCAGACAAUAGGCCAGUCAGACGACGGCAGCUGCAGGUGAAAGCAGGCACCUUCCCACUAACAAUAGAACCAACUCUCUCUGACAUGGAAGAGUCUCUUGCAAGAGGAGAAACCGACCCGAACCAGCGCUGGCCUCUGGAAGCCACAGGAGAGACAGAAGGGCUGCUCCCUCUUCUUACAAGGGUGUGGGCACUUCCUUCAGAGUAUUUGUUGCUGCCAAGAUCAGGCUGUUGCCUCCCUGGAACUCGAGGUAUCGGGACGCUUGUUUGCAGAGCUGGCCAGCCAGCAGCCCAGAGCAGCUGGUUGUAAUUAUGCGUUGCAGCUUCAGAGGAAGUUGCUGGCUGCGGAGCGUGUGCUGGGCCUGGCUGCACAUUGGCUGCUGGGCUUAAGGGAACAAUGGAGAUAGAAACCAGUGGCAGCAGGGGAAGGGGAGGAGCGGGAUGAGGGUGAAGACAGGCAGAAAGAAAGGGCAAGAGCUGCUCCCAGCGCUGCAUAUGGAAAAACCCACAUCUGCACUCCAAGGAUCCGUCUCUUGUUCCCAGACUUAAAACAAAGUGCGUGCCCCUCUGUGAACAGCCCCCUGACUUUUCUUCUCAAGCUGUACCUGCUGCACACUGUAUUUAGAGAAGUGUGCCUGGCUGACAUAUUGAAUAGCACUUCUCAGCCUGUUUAAUCUAAAUUGACUGCAUCUUUGUAGCAGCUGGCCACAGGGAAAAACAAAAGCAUUCAUGAUGAAAAAGGCAAAUCUCUCUUGACGAGAAAGUACCGCAGCAGUGGUAGCAGCAGUUAAACAUUUCAGUACCUUGCUAAAUGCUCUGCCCAGAUGCGUAUAUCAGGAGGAAAAGAAAAAAAAGACAACUUUAUAGAAGUGAAAUGUGCGUUAAUUAACAAGUUUUUUUUUUUUUUUUUUCCUGGAUGGAGAAAAGCUUAUUAAU